AACGAACGCUGGCGGCAGGCCUAACACAUGCAAGUCGAGCGGAUGAGUGGAGCUUGCUCCAUGAUUCAGCGGCGGACGGGUGAGUAAUGCCUAGGAAUCUGCCUGGUAGUGGGGGACAACGUUUCGAAAGGAACGCUAAUACCGCAUACGUCCUACGGGAGAAAGCAGGGGACCUUCGGGCCUUGCGCUAUCAGAUGAGCCUAGGUCGGAUUAGCUAGUAGGUGAGGUAAUGGCUCACCUAGGCGACGAUCCGUAACUGGUCUGAGAGGAUGAUCAGUCACACUGGAACUGAGACACGGCCCAGACUCCUACGGGAGGCAGCAGUGGGGAAUUUUGGACAAUGGGCGCAAGCCUGAUCCAGCAAUGCCGCGUGCAGGAUGAAGGCC
rnacentral:rRNA from 1 species